GGUACGGGAAAGCAGCUGUUGUGCUGAACCUGGAGUUGUGGGACUUUGAGAUUCAACAGUUGCAGCAACUGGUACUUUGGUUACUUCUUAUGGCUUUGCACUUCUGUUUUGAUACAGUCUUGCAAACGGCCUUCAAUUCACACCCACAACAGUCACUGGAACAUUUUCUUGCCAUCAUUUUUGAAUUCACAAGGCCACACUUUUUAUUAGUAAUGCCGUACCGGACUCAGGAGCAAGACAGAUAAGAUGGAUGGAAGCACUCUUUUCCCCAGAGGAGGGGGAUCUAAAACCAGGGGACGCAGAUUUAAGCAUCAAUCCUCAGAGACAAGGCAAGAGAUGAAAACAGUCAAAAAUUGAAAGGGAAACAUAAGGAAAUAAGAGCAACAAGAAAAUGCCCAGUGAAAGAUUUAGGAAGAGAGCCUCAAUCCUGUCCAGGCACAUUACAGCUUUCUGAACUCUUAUCAGGCUCCUUGAUUGGACACACCUGAUUCUCAUCUAAACCUGCAGCAUAAAUACCUCGGCUUUGCAUCCACUCAUCGCCAGAUUGUUGUUUCAGCCAGUGUGGUAAUUCAUGUUCCUAGUUGCUUAGGAUUGUGUAUUCUAAGUUUUGUUUCAGCACUGAGGUUUGCCUGUGUAACUCUGUCUCUCCAUGUCAAGAGAAGCAUCGCCUGCCACCUGCCUUUCCGUUCAUCCUCCUGUUUGCCGUUCAACUCCAGCAACGCUCUGUGUCAAGAUGAGUAUUGCCUGCCACCUGCCUUUCCGUUCAUCCUCCUGUUUGCCGUUCAACUCCAGCAACGCUCUGUGUCAAGAUGAGUAUUGCUUGCCACCUGCCUUUCCGUUCAUCCUCCUGUUUGCCGUUCAGCUCCAGCCACGCACAUGCCCUCGUCUGCAUUCCAACUCUAUCUCUGUGCCAGUGUCCAGCGUUUGGGUUCACCCUCUCUUUGCACAGGUCUACAACCUAUUAGGGACAAACUCAAAGUCAUUGACAAGCUGCUUAAGUAAUUUUUGGCUGUGGUUCAGUCUAAUUCAGGGUUUUUACUAGACUUACACCACAGCAACAAUUACUUAUGGAGAAUGAGAAAGGUAGAUGGAGUCAGAAUCAACAAAGAGCAGAUGUGCAGAUAUCUUGUGUAGCAGUGUUUGAAAUAGUAAGACUUUAUUAGUACAUUCUAAGUUCAAUGUAAAUUUAUUGUCAAAGUACAUAAAUGUCAUUACUAACUACAGUGAGAUUCAUCUUAUUGCAGGCACUUGCAGUAAAUGCAAAGAAACUCAAUAGAAUCAAUGAAAAAAAAUGCACUGAAGCAAAGAUGGACAAACAACCAAUGUACAAAAGACAACAAAUUGUGCAAACACAAAAGGAAAAGAAAAACUAAAAACAAACAAAUAAAUAAAUAAUUUUGAGUCCUUGAAAGUGAGUCCAGAGGUUGCAGAUUCAGUUCAGUGUUGGGUUCUGCAUGCAUACUUUUAGGUUAGGUUGGGCAUCAUCUGUGGAAUGAAAAACAAAAGUUUAGAUUUCUCUCUCCCUGCAGAUGUUGCCUGCCCUGAUGAGUAUCUUCAGUAAUUUCUUCUGUAUUACAUCAUUUCUCUGAUUUGUUAAUCUUAGCAGAUUAACUGUGUCUCCACAUUUUUUGUAAAAUGCUUCAGUAGUUAUAUAUUGUUGCUAAUUGGCUACAGCAUAUUCAAUAAAAUUCUUGCAAUUGUGUUUUACAUUUUUCUCACGAUCGUCUUAAAAAUGUGAGAAAAAGCUCAUUACAAACACCAGUGAAGAUCCUUCAGUACAACAAAUGUUAACACAUGGCAUCAGCUAUGAAUUCUGGUCUUCUCUUAAUUUAUUGAUGUGCAUUGUGUUUGCUUAUAUGUAGUACAUGCAGACAUUAUUCAUACCCUUUCAUUUUUAAAAACUUUAAAUUCUUACAUACAGCUCAAGUCUCCACACCCACACUUUCACAGGAUGCCCCCAACACCUGCUGCCUUGCCUUCAGUUAGAUUCUAAUUGACAAAUGAUCCGCAGCAAUGGUUAGCUGCGAUCAACUGCCAAAAUGUGUUUGAUACACAUUAAGAAACCUCCCACUCCAUUCUACAAAUAGCUUUCAGGCUACAAAAAAAUACAAUUGCACUUGUCACAUGUGCCACAGGAAAUCUUAUCCAGUUAAUCUCAUUUAAAGGUAUGCCUUGAAAGAGGAUUUCCUCUGUGUCAAACUGUUUGGGCAGGGAGCACCACGAUGAGUCACUGCAAAAUUAAUUUAGUUUUACAUUGACUCUGCUUCGAAUGGUGGAACAGAUGAUUCAUUAUUUCCAGCCUGACCUCGCUGCCUUGAAAUCAAACAUGUUUGCCAUGCUGUCUCACCCAAUGCCAUCAGAUCAGACUGACACAUUAAAUGCACUGCAAGGUUUAUAAAAUGUGGUACUGAUGAUGUUCCUAAUCUGGGUGCAUGACAACCCUGAAAGCUCAAUCAAUAUUUGGUUUCUCUCAGCAUUGGCCUACAGGUACCUUGUAAAUUUUGUGGGAUUCCUGAGUAACACUGAUCAAACGGCAUAGAGUUAAGAUAGUUAAGAAUUUACAAGAUGUCUUUCCAUCCUGGCUUUUCAGAUUAUUUUGAACUUUAGCAGCAGUUUUUGUGAUGAACUGACUAUUGUCAGAAAAUUAAAUCCUCCUUUUACCACUGAGCCAAACUCACGAAAGUCAUAUCAAAAAUGAAAUUUGAAACUGCCUUUUCAUUCAAAACUUUAUUCUGAAGGAAUCAGUGAUCAAACAAAAGCCAGCAUUAAAUACAGUAUCUAAGGGAUAUCUGCCAUAAUACAAUCGCAGAUCAGAAUCGAAUGAUAACCUUCAACACAGUUACACACUUAACAGAUAUCACUUGACUUUAUGGGCACCAUAACUAAAAUGAUGUUAAAAUGAAAAUGAGAAUAUCUUGGGAAAUUGUAAGGUGCAGCCAGUUAAAUAUGGAUUUAAAAAAAAUUCAUGUACUGUGUCCGCACUAGACCAAUUGUUCUGCAGGUGUCUAAAAUGAAGAGAUUUUCUGUCACUUAGAACAUAGAAGAUAAAACAGUACAGCACAGUACAGGUCCGUUGGUCCAUGAUGUUGUGCUGACCCUUUAAACUACUCUAAGAUCAAUCUAACCCUUCCCUCCCACAUAGCCCUUUAUUUUUCUUACAUCCAUGUGGCUCUUUUUAGUGUCUCUUAAAUGUCAUUAAUGCAUCUGCAUCCGCCACCACCCACGCACCUACCUCUGACAUCUCCCCUAUACUUUCCUCUAAACACUUUGACGAUAUGCCCCCUUGUAUUCGCCGUUUUCACCCUAGAAAAAGUCUCUAGCUGUCCACUCAACCUGUGCCUCUUACCAUGUUGUAGAAUUUUAUCAAGUCACCUCUCACCCUCCUUCACUCCAAAUAGGAAAGCCCUAGCUCAAGCAACUUUUCCUCAUACGGAAUGCUCUCUAAUCCAGGCGGCAUCCUGGUAAAUAUCUUCAGCACCCUCUCUAAGUCUUCCACAUCCUUCCUAUAAUGAGGUGACCAGAACUGAACACAAUACUCCUAGUGUGGUCUAACCGGAGUUUUCUAGAGCUGCAACAUUUCCUUACGGUUCUUGAACACCAUCCCCAAAGUAAUGAAGGCCAACAUACCAUUUGCCUUCUUGACCACCUUCUCGACUUGUGCUGCAAUUUUGAGACAUAUACAAACUUGGACCCCGUGAUCCAUCUGUUCCUCCACACUGUUGAGAAUCCUAUCAUUAAACCUGUAUUUAACCUUCCAAGUGAAUCUCUUCACACUUAUCAGGAUUGAAAUCCAUCUCCCACUUCUCAGCCCAUCUCUACAUUCUAUCAAUGUAAACCAAAAUAACAUUCUAACUAUCCAUAACUCCACCAACCUCCAUGUCACCUGCAAACUUCCACUUCCUUGUACAAGUCAUUUAUAAAAAUCACCAAGAGUAGGGGUCCCAGAAUAGAUCCCCAUGGAACACUACUGGUCACAAAUCUCCAGGCAGAAUAUGGUCACUCUACUACUACCUUCUGCCAUCUGUGGGCCAGCCAGUUCUGAAUCCAUGCAGCCAAGUUUAUCUGGAUCCCAUGCCCUCUGACUUUCUGAACAAACUUACUCUGAAGAACCUUGUCAAAUGCCUUACUAAAAUCCUUAUACCCCACUUUCGCUACUCUGCCUUCAUCAAUCACUUCCUCAGAGAAUUCAAUCAGCCUUGCGAGGCACAACCUGCCUUUCAUAAAGCCAUGUUGACUAUCCCUAUUCGGACAAUGCUUCUCCAAAUAUGCGCAAGUCCUGUCUCUAAGAAUCCUCUCCAAUAGCUUGUCAACCACUGAUAUAAGGCUCACUGGUCCUCUCCAAUAGUUUGUCUACUACUGAUGCAAGACUCACUGGUCUAUAAUUUUCAGGAUUAUCCCUUUCUUGAACAAGGGAGUUACAUUUACCACACCCUUCCCCCAAUCUUCCGAUACUACACUAUGGUUAGUGAGGAUGCAAAGAUCAUCGCCGAAGCUGCAGUAAUCUCUUUUCUUUCUUCCUGUAGUAACCUGGGUUAUAUUUCAUCUGGUCCCAGGAACUAAUGUUUUUCAAAAGUUCCAGCAUAUCUUUUUCCUUAACAUUGACAUGUUCCAGGAUACCAGUAUGUAUAUGCUGCCCUCAUAUUCAUCAAGAUAUGUCUCACUGAAGAAUACUGAAGCAAAAUAUUCAUUCAGGACCUCCCCUACCUCCUCCAAGUCCAGGCACAUUUCCUCUUCUGUCCCUGAUUGGUCCCACCCUAAUUCUAGUUAUCCUCCUAAACAUUCUAUGUAUGAAUAGAAUGCCACAGAGUUUUUCUUAAUCCUACUUGUCAAGGCCUUCACAUGUCCCCUUCCAUCUCUCCUAAAUCUAUACUUAAGGUCCUUCCUGGUUAUUCUGUAACUCUCUAUAGCUCUGUUUGAUCCUUGCUUCCUAAACCUUAACUAUGCUUCUUUCUUCUUGACUAGAUGUUCCACAUCUCUUGUCAACCUUGGUUCCUUCACUGUACCAUCUUUUCCCUGCCUCAAAGGGACUAGCCAAUCAAGAACCUCAUGCAAAUGUUCCCUAAACAACCUCCACAUUUCUGUUGUGCAUUUCCCUGAGUACAUCUGUUCCCAAUUUAUCUUCUCAAUUUCCUGCCUAAUAGUACAUAAUUCACCCUUCCUUCAUUAAAAUACUUUCCCAUACCCUCUCACAAACAAGAGAAAAUCUGCAGAUGCUGGAAAUCCAAGCAACACAAACAAAAUGCUGGAGGAACUCUGUAGGCCAGGCAGCAUCAAUGGAAAAGAGAAUUUCAUACUCUUCAUCAGGUGUCCUGAUGAAAGGCCUCAGCCUGAAACAUCAACUGCACUUUUUUCCAUAGAUGCUGCAUGGCCUGCUGAGUUCCUCCAACAUUGUGUGUGUGUGUGUGCGUGUGUGUGUGUGUGUGUGUGUUUUGUUCCCAUACCUUCUGUUCCUAUGCCCAUCCAAGGCUAUGGUAAAGUUCAGGGAGUUGUGGCGUCACUGUCUCCAAAACGCUUACCCACUGAGAAAUCUGUCACCUGACCAUGCUCAAUGCCUUCUCCUGGAUACACUAUGGCCUCUCUACUUGAUUUGUCUAUAUAAUAUGUCAGGAGUCCUUCCUGGACACCUAACAAAUUAUAGAGUUCAUAGAAUUCAUAGAAUAGUACAGCACAGUACAGGCCCUUCGGCCCACAAUGUUGUCCUAUUCUGUCCUAUCUAAACCUUUUGCAAUAAGGAAGUGCCAAUCACAUUACCGAAGUUGAAUUCACCCAUGACAACACCUUUCUAAAAUCUGCCUCCCAAUCUGCAUGGUAUUUUUUUGGGGGGGCAGAAUUAUUGCUAUAAAUGUACCUAUAGAAUACUCUCAAUAUAGUGAUUGUUCCUUUCCCGUUUCUGACUUCUACCCACACUGACUCAGUGAACAAUCCCUCCACAACAUCAUCCCAUUCUGCAGCAGUGAUACUAUCACUGACUCUGUCACCUCAAUUACCUCCCUCCCUGUUCCUUUCGAAACAUCUAAACCCUUGAGCAUUCACCAGCCAUUCCGGUCCUCAUGACAACCAAGUUUCCGUAAUGGCCACAACGCCAUAUACUGACCCAUGCUCUAAAUCCAUCGCCAUUAUUCCUGUUUCAGGCCGAGACCCUUCAAAGGUCGACUGCACCUCUUCCUAGAGAUGCUGCCUGGCCUGCUGCGUUCACCAGCAACUUUUAUGUGUGUUGCUUGAAUUUCCAGCAUCUGCAGAAUUCCUGUUGUUCGCCAUUAUUCCUGAUGCUUUUCGCAUUGUGGUGUAUGGGGUGUCCAGAGAGGGAUGGCACCUCUGGUGAAGGGGCUUAUCGUGUUGAAUCUGGAGCAGCACACUCACCCUUAGUCCCCACGGGUCACUCAGCUCUCACCUGUAGCUACAAGUAGCUGUUUGCAAGUGACAACGGCCACACCCUGGUGCACCACUUCAGCAGGCAGGCUAAACCAGGUGAAGGUAGCCAGUGGGUCUCAUACCUCAGUGAGAUAGUAGCAUGCCUGUCCUAGCAUGCCAAGUCAACUCCAGUGGACUGGGCAGAUGAGAUCUACAGUGAGAUCCAACAGCCAGGAAGGGGGUUUCCGCAAUGCUCCAUGGAGUGCGAAGGGCAUGACGAGGCAAAGGAGAAAUCAUGUUCACCCACUGCAACCAAGGAAGACCCAGUUGUGAUGACUACUCAUACCACUGGAUCCGGAAUUCUGAGGUCAAGUGAGUAGAACUGCCCCAGUGCAAAGGAAUUUCCACUUUAAGAACUCUCCCACACAGGUUUCCUGUCAUUAUCAGAUAUGACAAACAAUCAAAAUUUUGCAUUAAAAUAGGCACAUUUCAACCCAUUUCACUGACUGCAGCUUUAUUUUUUCCAUUGGCUAUCCAUCCUCAGUCUCUCUACACACUGCAACUACCUUCACCACAAUUGCCCCAUCCUCUGACCUAUCACUCCAGUUCCCAUCCCCUGCCAAACUAGUUUGAACCCUCCCCGCAGCUUGAACAAACCUGCCUGCUGAGAUAUUGUCCCCCUUGAGGUCUUGUGUAACUCUUCCUUUUGUACAGGUCAUACUUUCCGCACAGUAGAUCCCAAUGAUCCACAGAUCUGAAUCACUGCUCCCUACACCAAUUGCCCAGCCACACGUUAUCUGCAAAUUAUUCUAUUCUUGCCCUCACUGGCAUAUGGCACAGGCAGUAAUCUAGAGGAUACCACUCUUGAAGUCCUGCUUUGCAGUUUCCUACCUAGCUCUCUAUAUUCUCUCCUCAGGAACACAUCCUUUUCCUACCUAUGUAUGCUGUUGGUACCAUGACUUCCAGCUGUUCACCUUCUCCCUUUAGAAUGCUGUGGACCCAAUCCAAGAAAGCCCUGUCCCUGGCACCUGGGAGGUGACAUACCUUCCGGGUAUCUCCGUCACCUCCACAAAUUCUCCUGUCUGUUCCUCUAUCAACUGAAACCCCUAUCACCACUUCUCUCCUCUGCUCUUCCCUUCCCAUCUGAGCAAUACAGCCAGAUUUAUUACCAGAGACCUGUUUGCUGCAGCUUUCCCCACUAGGUCAACCCCUCCCCAGAGUGUGUCCAAAACAGUCUACCUGUAAUCGAGUGGGCCAGCCACGGGGGUACACUGUACUAUGUGCCUAUUCCCUUUCCCUCUUCUGACAGUCACCCAGCUACCUUAAGUACUAAUAGACAAAGGGCGGAGCUUAGGAUGACGAUGGUGCCUAAUGGCAACUCCUUUGCUUUCAUCUUCAGAAACAGCUCUAUUUCUAUCUUCAAUAUUUCUCUUUUCCCUUUUCAGGGUUCUUUUGAAGACCCUGACCUGGAGUUAAAUGCUGACUUUGGUUUUUAUGGGAACGGGACCCGCUCUUGGUGUCUCAUGACUGGCCGCAUUUUGAUAUGCCAAGGAUGAGGCCGAGAAGACUAGUGCGUCUUCAGGGUGCCAGUUUUUUGUAGCUCUGGAGGCAGGCAGACUUGAGGUCGGUGCCGCCGCCUGGUGCGUUGUGGGGGACGGAUGAUCAAAAGCAGUGAGCUGGCUGCUGGCUGUGUGCCCAGAGACCCGAGUUCUUUGGGCACAGAGCUCGGAAAAAGCGACACAACAGACCUUUAACACCAUAAAUCAGCAAGUUGCUUUGUUAUGUCUCCCCUCGCGCUGUGAAACUGGGAUGCCACUUUUUCCCUUAUUAGGGAGAGAGAAAGCCUAUGGUAUGUCAAAUACUGGGUAAACAAGUGGUCUUUGGGAUUCUGCAAGUCUGUGUCUUUAUUGAUGCUUUGCUGCACGCUUG